rnacentral:rRNA from 1 species
GACAGAGGGUGCAAACGUUGUUCGGAAUUACUGGGCGUAAAGCGCACGUAGGCGGCUUUCUAAGUCGGGGGUGAAAUCCUGGAGCUCAACUCCAGAACUGCCUUCGAUACUGGCGAUCUUGAGUCCGGAAGAGGUGAGUGGAACUCCUAGUGUAGAGGUGGAAUUCGUAGAUAUUAGGAAGAACACCAGUGGCGAAGGCGGCUCACUGGUCCGGUACUGACGCUGAGGUGCGAAAGCGUGGGGAGCAAACAGG